rnacentral:rRNA from 1 species
AACACAUGCAAGUCGAACGGAAAGGCCAGUGCUUGCACUGGUGCUCGAGUGGCGAACGGGUGAGUAACACGUGGGUGAUCUGCCUUGCACUCUGGGAUAAGCUUGGGAAACUGGGUCUAAUACCGGAUAUGAACUGCCUUUAGUGUGGUGGUUGGAAAGUUUUUUCGGUGCAAGAUGAGCUCGCGGCCUAUCAGCUUGUUGGUGGGGUAAUGGCCUACCAAGGCGUCGACGGGUAGCCGGCCUGAGAGGGUGUACGGCCACAUUGGGACUGAGAUACGGCCCAGACUCCUACGGGAGGCAGCAGUGGGGAAUAUUGCACAAUGGGCGGAAGCCUGAUGCAGCGACGCCGCGUGGGGGAUGACGGCCUUCGGGUUGUAAACUCCUUUCGACAGGGACGAAGCGUAAGUGACGGUACCUGUAUAAGAAGCACCGGCUAACUACGUGCCAGCAGCCGCGGUAAUACGUAGGGUGCGAGCGUUGUCCGGAAUUACUGGGCGUAAAGAGCUCGUAGGUGGUUUGUCGCGUCGUCUGUGAAAUUCCGGGGCUUAACUUCGGGCGUGCAGGCGAUACGGGCAUAACUUGAGUGCUGUAGGGGAGACUGGAAUUCCUGGUGUAGCGGUGAAAUGCGCAGAUAUCAGGAGGAACACCGAUGGCGAAGGCAGGUCUCUGGGCAGUUACUGACGCUGAGGAGCGAAAGCAUGGGUAGCAAACAGGAUUAGAUACCC